UGUGGAGCUAGACUGGGCUGUUAGGCGUAGCCUGUAACCCGAAAUCGUCUAUAGCGGGAGUCGAAAAUCCCGGAAGGUAUCCAAAUUGGCAGAAGCCUCUUUAAUUCAACUGAGAAGCCCAGCCUCAGAAGGUGGUUUUCAUUAUGAAUCCCCCAGGUUCGGAAGAAAGCAAGGGUAAAUAAUGAAAAUUAUGCUUCUGGGUUAACUGGGUGGAGAAGAAUUAGAGAGUAAACUUCUGCUGAUUUGGUUAUCGACCGGGGCUGCUCCACA
rnacentral:SRP_RNA from 1 species